rfam:Populus trichocarpa scaffold_11_contig_563, whole genome shotgun sequence.
UCUAGAACUCGAGAUAUGGGCUGAAGGGUUGCAGGACAGAUUUCGACUUCUCUUUUGUUGCUACAAUUGGAACUUGAAAACGACCCUUUUGAAUCUUGGACUCUUCAUGAAAGUUUUAGGCCUAUGUCUUAGCUUUCUAUC